rnacentral:rRNA from 1 species
AGCAGCCGCGGUAAUUCCAGCUCCAAUAGCGUAUAUUAAAGUUGUUGCAGUUAAAAAGCUCGUAGUUGAAUUUCGGGAUUUAUCCGUCGGUCGGGCUUUUGGGUCUGUACUGGCGUGAUGAAUUCCUACCUUCUGAAUAACCAGCAUGCCAUUAAUUUGGUGCGCCGGGGAAGCAGGACUGUUACCUUGAAAAAUUAGAGUGCUUAAAGCAGGCUAUUGCCUGAAUACAUUAGCAUGGAAUAAUGAAAUAGGACGGCAUGGUUCUAUUUUGUUGGUUUCUAGGAUCACCGUAAUGAUUAAUAGGGAUAGUUGGGGGCAUUAGUAUUCAAUUGUCAGAGGUGAAAUUCUUGGAUUUAUUGAAGACUAACUUCUGCGAAAGCAUUUGCCAAGGAUGUUUUCAUUAAUCAAGAACGAAAGUUAGGGGAUCGAAGACGAUCAGAUACCGUCGUAGUCUUAACCAUAAACUAUGCCGACUA